UCAGCUCCUGGAUGACUACAAGAAAGGGAACCUCCACAUCAUUCCAGACACUCCUCUGGCUGAGGAGAGAUCAGGAGAUGACAGUGAUGUGUUGAUAGACAGAGACAUCAUGGCCUCCAUGCAGAGGAAUGUGUGGAUGGACAUAUAUUUAAGGAAGACACUAAACCAGAAAAUACCACAUUACACCCUCUUAAAAGACUUCUAAGAUUGUUGUCAUGCCUACCACAGACAUUCAGAUGAUGUGUAUUCUUGAUUGUGAUUUCAUGUUUGGAGCUGAUGAAGGAGAAAGUACCUGGAAUGUCCUAGAAUUCUCAAGACCCAGGAGAAGAACAUAUGCCUGAGAAGAAGAACUAGUGUGGAACUGUCAGCCAGGUUUUUGAUGAGUGCUCAGACUGCUUCCUGAUCCAGCACCACAUUUACUAUAGUGGACAGAUGCUCUAGUCUCUGAUGAGGAGUUGCUAGCUGUUAGGAAGAACCUGGAAUGGGCUCCACUGCAUGAGGUUUGAAGUCUCCAGAGCAGCAAAGAGAGUGGGGAGUAGAAC
rnacentral:lncRNA from 1 species